ACCUACGGGACGCAGCAGUGGGGAAUAUUGGGCAAUGGGCGCAAGCCUGACCCAGCAACGCCGCGUGAAGGAAGAAGGCUUUCGGGUUGUAAACUUCUAUCAGCAGGGAAGAAAAUGACGGUACCUGACUAAGAAGCCCCGGCUAACUACGUGCCAGCAGCCGCGGUAAUACGUAGGGGGCAAGCGUUAUCCGGAUUUACUGGGUGUAAAGGGAGCGUAGGCGGCAGUGCAAGUCAGAAGUGAAAGCCCGGGGCUCAACUCCGGGACUGCUUUUGAAACUGUACAGCUUGAUUGCAGGAGAGGCA
rnacentral:rRNA from 1 species